rnacentral:rRNA from 1 species
GCUCAAUGAAUCUUAAAUAGCCGCAACUUAUGUGCUAAGGUAGCAUAAUCAUUUGUUUUUAAUUGUAAACUAGAAUGAAAGGUUUCACAUAAAAUUUCUAUAAUAAUUAUUUUUUUAUAAAUUAUAUUUAAUAUAAAAAUAUAUUAAUAUUAUAAAAAGACGAUAAGACCCUAUUGAAUUUUUUUUUGUUUAGCUGGGGCAGCUAAUUAAUAAUAAUUUUAAUUUUAAUCUCCAAAAAUGACCCAAAAUAUUUGAUUUUUUAAUUAAAUUACCAUAGGGAUAACAGCGUAAUAUUUUUCUAAAGUUCUUAUUUAAAAGAAAGUUUUCUACCUCGAUGUUGAAUUAAUUUUCUUUAUAAAGCAGAAUUUAUAAAAG